rnacentral:rRNA from 1 species
UACAGAGGUCCCAAGCGUUGUUCGGAUUCACUGGGCGUAAAGGGUGCGUAGGUGGUUAGGUAAGUCCGAUGUGAAAUCUCCAGGCUCAACCUGGAAAUGGCAUUGGAUACUAUUUAGCUUGAGGAGUGGAGGGGGGACUGGAAUUCUCGGUGUAGCAGUGAAAUGCGUAGAUAUCGAGAGGAACACCAGUGGCGAAGGCGAGUCCCUGGACACUUCCUGACACUGAGGCACGAAAGCGUGGGGAGCAAAAGGG